rnacentral:rRNA from 1 species
UACGUAGGGGCCGAGCGUUGUCCGGAUUCAUUGGGCGUAAAGAGCGUGUAGGCGGCCGCUUAAGUCCUGCGUGAAAGUCUCGGAGCUCAACUCCGAGCGGUCGUGGGAAACUGGGCGGCUAGAGUGCGGGAGAGGAGAGUGGAAUCCUGGUGUAGCGGUGGAAUGCGCAGAUAUCAGGAAGAACACCCGUGGCGAAGGCGGCUCUCUGGAACGCAACUGACGCUGAGACGCGAAAGCGUGGGGAGCAAACAGG